CCCUUAGAUGUCCGGGGCUGCACGCGCGCUACACUGAAGGAAUCAGCGUGCUAAAACCAUUGUCGAAAGGCAUUGGUAAACCCAUUAAAAUCCUACGUGAUUGGGAUCGGGAAUUGCAAUUAUUUCCCUUGAACGAGGAAUUCCCAGUAAGUGUGGGACAUAAGCUCGCGUUGAUUACGUCCCUGCCCUUUGUACACACCGCCCGUCGCUGCCCGGGACUGAGCCGUUUCGAGAAAAGCGGGGACUGCUGCUGUCGGGGCUUUCGGGCCUUGGCUUCGGUGGAAACCGCUUUAAUCGCAGUGGCUUGAACCGGGCAAAAGUCGUANCA
rnacentral:rRNA from 1 species